CUUGGUCAUUUAGAGGAAGUAAAAGUCGUAACAAGGUUUCCGUAGGUGAACCUGCGGAAGGAUCAUUAUUGAAAUAAACUUGAUGGGUUGUUGCUGGUUCUCCAGGGAGCAUUGUGCACACCUUGUCAUCUUUAUAUCUCCACCUGUGCACUUUUUGUAGACCUUUUCGGGUCUAUGUUGCCUCAUUUUACCCCAAUGUAUGUCAAUAGAAUGUUGUGCCUAUAUAAUAUAUACAACUUUCAGCAACGGAUCUCUUGGCUCUCGCAUCGAUGAAGAACGCAGCGAAAUGCGAUAAGUAAUGUGAAUUGCAGAAUUCAGUGAAUCAUCGAAUCUUUGAACGCACAUUGCGCCCCUUGGUAUUCCGAGGGGCAUGCCUGUUCGAGCGUCAUUAUGACCACUCAAGCCUAGCUUGGUAUUGGGGUUCGCGUGCUCGCGGCUCUUAAAAUCAGUGGCGGUGCCGUCUGGCUCUAAGCGUAGUAAUGCUCUCGCUAUUGGGUCCGGGCGGUUGCUUGCCAAAAUCCCCCACUUUCUUAGGCUGACCUCGGAUCAGGUAGGGAUACCCGCUGAACUUAAGCAUAUCAAUAAGCGGAGGA
rnacentral:rRNA from 1 species